rnacentral:rRNA from 1 species
GACGAACGCUGGCGGCGUGCUUAACACAUGCAAGUCGAACGGAAAGGCCCUGCUUUUGUGGGGUGCUCGAGUGGCGAACGGGUGAGUAACACGUGAGUAACCUGCCCUUGACUUUGGGAUAACUUCAGGAAACUGGGGCUAAUACCGGAUAGGAGCUCCUGCUGCAUGGUGGGGGUUGGAAAGUUUCGGCGGUUGGGGAUGGACUCGCGGCUUAUCAGCUUGUUGGUGGGGUAGUGGCUUACCAAGGCUUUGACGGGUAGCCGGCCUGAGAGGGUGACCGGCGACAUGGGGACUAAGAGACGGACCAGACUCCUACGGGAGGCAGCAGGGGGGAAUAUUACACAAUGGGCGGAAGCCUGAGGCAGCAACGCCGCGUGCGGGAUGACGGCCUUCGGGUUGUAAACCGCUUUCGCCUGUGACGAAGCGUGAGUGACGGUAAUGAGUAAAGAAGCACCGGCUAACUACGUG